AAAAAAAAAAAAGCCCUGUGUUUAGAGAGAGAGAGAGAAAAAACAACUGAGAAAGGCAUCCGUCGGAUCGGUCACGUGGCACCAAUCCGCAUAAUCCCCAAACUAAAUAGUUUGGGGACUUUGCCCAUAAAAUUUUUGUCCCGAUGGAUGUCAACGGGUAGGGAUAUUUAAAUUUUAUCCAAAUUCGAAUCCGAACGAAGUGGAUUUACCUGAUGCUAAACGGAUAUAGUUUUAAUUAUGAAUAUAUAUUAAAAAUAAAAACCCGAUGAAUAUGAAUUCGAAUAUGGAUUUUGACUGUACUCGACUUUAACCCGAACCCAACCGGAACUCGAAUUUAUUUUACAUUUUUAUAUAGUAUGUAUAUACAAAUUUGAAGUUAUAUUUGAAUUUAUAUUUUAAAAUUUUAGAUUUAAUGUAAUAUAUUUUGAAAUAUUGAAAAGAGAAAUAAUUAUUUCCGGUUCGGAUUUUCUAGUUCGAGUUUCGAAUUUUUAGUUAGAUUCGGGUUUGGAUACGAAUUUUUAAAAUUCGUUGGAUUCGGAUUCGGGUUUUGGGUUCAGAUUUUUGAAAAUCCGUGCCGAAUCCGAUCCGUUGACAUUCCUAU
rnacentral:lncRNA from 1 species